UUCUGAGGCGACUGCUCGAAUAAUUGCUGACGAAAGUACAGUGACAUCAACAAUUGAGCCAACAACAACAACAACAACAGCUAGUACUACAGAAGCUGCGCCAACCUUUUUCUGCAACUGCCCCACCCAAUGCGAUUUAUCGGAGAGCACGAAAAGAAGAGAAUUGUUAACAAGUAUUAGAAUUAAUAUUGAAAUUUAAUUAAAUCUUGAAAAUAUAGACCCGGAAUCGUUUGGAGAGUGGAGAAGCCUGGGAAAAUAUUCCUACUUGCUUGGAAAUGAAGCUGUGUUGUGGGAGAAAAUUUGGCCGAAAUGUUGUGCUUUGGGAAUGAAGCCGAUUAGUUUUGAAUCAGUCCAGAAACUGCAAUCAGUUGGAGAGUUCUUCAAAGACUGGACUUUCAACACUAAAUUUUGGACCAGUGGGACGUUCACCGAAUGCAACGGCACUGCUCUGUCGCCGUCUUUAAUUUGGUGUUCGAUUCCGAGCAAUAAUUUCGCCAAAGAAAUGUGGCACCCGAAUGGAAAUCAAAAGGAUUCACCUGGAACCUGCGUCAGCGCGACGGCAGAGGCGGGAAAUCAAUUUUUAUUGA